rnacentral:piRNA from 1 species
UACAAAGAGCAUUGUGACUGGCUUACAAAGU